UGGUAAUUAGUUUAACUAAAACAAAUGAUUUCGACUCAUUAAAUCAUGGAUUAUUACCCAUGUAUACCAA
rnacentral:tRNA from 1 species